rnacentral:rRNA from 1 species
GACGAACGCUGGCGGCGUGCUUAACACAUGCAAGUCGAACGAUGAAGCUGGAGCUUGCUCCGGUGGAUUAGUGGCGAACGGGUGAGUAACACGUGAGCAAUCUGCCCUUCACUCUGGGAUAACUGCGGGAAACUGUAGCUAAUACCGGAUACGAGACCUUGGGGCAUCCCAGGGUCUGGAAAGAAUUUCGGUGAAGGAUGAGCUCGCGGCCUAUCAGCUAGUUGGUGAGGUAAUGGCUCACCAAGGCGACGACGGGUAGCCGGCCUGAGAGGGUGACCGGCCACACUGGGACUGAGACACGGCCCAGACGCCUACGGGAGGCAGCAGUGGGGAAUAUUGCACAAUGGGCGAAAGCCUGAUGCAGCAACGCCGCGUGAGGGAUGAAGGCCUUCGGGUUGUAAACCUCUUUUAGUAGGGAAGAAGCGCAGGUGACGGUACCUACAGAAAAAGCACCGGCUAACUACGUGCCAGCAGCCGCAGUAA